UAACAAUAAGAUGGAGUGUA
rnacentral:siRNA from 1 species